rnacentral:rRNA from 1 species
CUACGGGACGCUGCAGUGGGGAAUAUUGGACAAUGGGGGAAACCCUGGUCCAGCAAUGCCGCGUGUGUGAAGAAGGCCUGCGGGUUGUAAAGCACUUUCGGUUGGGAGGACUGCUUCUAGCACUAAUAUUGUUGGAAGUUGACGUUACCUUCAGAAGAAGCACCGGCUAACUCCGUGCCAGCAGCCGCGGUGAUACGGAGGGUGCAAGCGUUAAUCGGAAUUACUGGGCGUAAAGCGCGCGUAGGCGGCUAGAUCAGUCGGGUGUGAAAGCCCCGGGCUUAACCUGGGAACUGCAUCCGGUACUGGCUAGCUUGAGUACAGGAGAGGAGAGUGGAAUUCCACAUGUAGCGGUGAAAUGCGUAGAUAUGUGGAGGAACACCAAUGGCGAAGGCAGCUCUCUGGCCUGAUACUGACGCUGAGGUGCGAAAGCGUGGGGAGCAAACAGGAUUAGAUACCCUCGUAGUC